rnacentral:rRNA from 1 species
UACAUAGGGGGCAAGCGUUAUCCGGAUUCACUGGGUGUAAAGGGAGCGUAGACGGCGACGCAAGUCUGGAGUGAAAGCCCGGGGCCCAACCCCGGGACUGCUCCGGAAACUGCGUCGCUGGAGUACGGGAGGGGCAGGCGGAAUUCCUGGUGUAGCGGUGAAAUGCGUAGAUAUCAGGAGGAACACCGGCGGCGAAGGCGGCCUGCUGGACCGUGACUGACGUUGAGGCUCGAGAGCGUGGGGAGCAAACAGG